UACGAAGGGGGCUAGCGCUGUUCGGAAUUACUGGGCGUAAAGCGCGCGCAGGCGGUUCUUUAAGUCAGGGGUGAAAGCCCAGAGCUCAACUCUGGAAUUGCCUUUGAAACUAGAGAACUUGAGUACGGGAGAGGUGAGUGGAAUUCCGAGUGUAGAGGUGAAAUUCGUAGAUAUUCGGAAGAACACCAGUGGCGAAGGCGGCUCACUGGCCCGUUACUGACGCUCAGGCGCGACAGCGUGGGGAGCAAACAGG
rnacentral:rRNA from 1 species